GUAGUCCACGCUGUAAACGAUGAGAACUAGGCGUUGGGAGGUUUUACCUUCUAGUGCCGAAGCUAACGCGUUAAGUUCUCCGCCUGGGGAGUACGGCCGCAAGGCUAAAACUCAAAGGAAUUGACGGGGGCUCGCACAAGCGGUGGAGCAUGUGGUUUAAUUCGAUGCAACGCGAAGAACCUUACCUACCCUUGACAUCCCAGGAAUCCUUCAGAGAUGAGGGAGUGCCUUCGGGAACCUGGAGACAGGUGCUGCAUGGCUGUCGUCAGCUCGUGUCGUGAGAUGUUGGGUUAAGUCCCGUAACGAGCGCAACCCUUGUCCUUAGUUGCCACCAGUUCGGCUGAGCACUCUAAGGAGACUGCCGGUGAUAAACCGGA
rnacentral:rRNA from 1 species